ensembl:lncRNA
ACCUCUAAGAUCACAGCGACCCCAGCGACCUCCUUGAAGAUAGAAAUGGGGAAAAUGGGAAUCCCUAGCCAAAACGUGCUUCAGUAUCUUUGGUAUUGAAUCUGGCAGAGGUUGAAAAUUCUGAAUUUAACAAAAGAAAAGAAGAAAGAUGAAAAGCACCUCUAUCUUCUAGCUGCUCACCUUAACAGUUGUGAAAUCUGGGAGUACUAUGGGGCUUCGGGCACUCUGUGCAACACAGCACUCUAGGAAGUAGUCGUUUAAAGGCAGGCACAUGCAGUGCCUCAGAACAAUUAAAGGAGCUGUUGGGGAAGGAGUUAAGUGAUUCAAGAACAGGGCUCAAAGGGCUCUUUUCUCCUGCACCACACCCUUCCUUGCUAAGGACCCUGCAGGAGAAGCCAAGCCAAGCCUCAAGCCUCCCAUCCAGGUUGCUAACAUCAAAAGCCUCUCUUGCUGCUCUCACUACCAGCUGCGUUGUUGUUCCACUGGUCUGAAGAGCCACUGGCACACAUCUGGGUGUCUGCAGAGAUCUCUUCAGGGCUCGUAUUUCCAAAGGAGCCUGUGUGAGGCUGCCAGGACAGCUUUCAGUCAUCUGCUUCCUGCAGUGCAGCAUCUGCAGCCCUGCUCUCCACAGCACUUGGAUCUGAAGGGAAGAGGAUUUCCUGGGGCAAGACAAAUAUGUUCAAAGCACCCACGUACCUGUGUGCUCGUGCCUCUACCUGGGUGAUGCUCUCACAUGAGCAUUCUUCUGUUUGGCUCUGGAAAUCAGGAAUCAAAUCAAUGAAAACCCUACAGUAGCUUGUGGCAAUUCUAUCAUAUAAGGAGAUACAGGAUUCUCCAUACAAUUUUCUCCUCACAGUGUCAGCUCUAAGAAAUAGUAUACUAAGUGGCACCUUACAGAGCACCUUUCUCACUGGGCUAACUGCCCAGCACUUCCUGGCAUAAAACAUCUGCUAUGUGGGAAUGUGCACAUGGCCACAGGGCUCGCUUGCUCUGCACCAUACAAGACAUCUCCUCCUCCAGGAGUGCACAGCUGGAGAAGGUUCUUUCCUUCCUUCUCCUAUGCAAGAGACAUCACCCAUCAGAGCUCUCCAUGCACAGGUACAUGCAAGGUGCUCAACCAAUGCUCCGACCUGCUGAGAACCCAACACCAGGACAAUGGCACAACUCGCAGUGCUGUCGCCAUCCUCAGCCCAGCAAACGUGACAGCAACACUAUGAGGGCUUUGUGCCACUGCCCACGCAGGUAAGGAGACAAAAAGCCUUUCACAAGAGCACGGGCGAGCGGGCAGCUGCCAGCCUCCUCCGCAAUGUUGCUGCAGUCACCACUGCCCCCUGCUCAAAGCACGGGCGCAGGCAUGGAAGGAUUCCAGGGUGCAGCAUUUCCCAAAGCCCCAGUUCACUUUCCUCUCACAGAGCUUGCUCCCAAAGCAUCCCAUCCCACCUUUGGACCCAAGCAGGACACGUGUCAUCACCUCCCCUCUCGGGGCGCAGCUCCUGUGCCAUGCAGGUGCAGUGCCCCAACGCCCUGCUUUCCCCUAUCUCCCCCCGCCCCUGGGGCAUAAAUCACCCCCAGCAAAGAUAACACUGGGCCAGGAAAGCCUGCAGGAACCUUGGGACACCAAGGAUUGGUGGAAUGGAACCCAAAACACUGCGAGCAGCCAUGGAAGCUGGCACCACACACCACAAAGCCUGCACAAGGGCGAGUUGUUUGGGUUGCUCUGCAAAAAAAAACAGGACUUGGGGGCAGUCUGGAAGGAAGAAAGGUCUUUUUCCUCAAGAAUGCAAAACAGGAGCAGACAUCUCUGUGAGCGUUCCAAACGGACCCACUUUCCCCUCUGCUCACUGUUUUAUAGAAGCUCGCCAGAAAGUGAUUUGCAGGCUGGCUUUGAAGAAGCAGAUUGUGACUUCUGGCAUCCAACUGCAAGGUUUGCAGCCCCGAACAGCAGAGCCUGGCUGAGGGCAUUCAGCGCUGAACAGUAACAGAGCACCUGGUUUUGGCCAAAGGCAUUCAGCAUUCAGACAGGAAGGUCAAGGCAUGCAUUGCUCUGCAGCCUUAAAACAAGCUUUAUUUCUGAUAACAAGCCCUCCGAUCUGCCAGAGCUAUCAGUCCUCUGCACCAACCUGAUGAGCAGGAGGUAAUGUUGGGGCAGACUCACUUAGGAUCUGUUUGGCUUUCUGACCACUGUGAGCAGCAUCUCCUGGGGAAGCCUCAGCACUGUCAGGCAAGGGGGUGAAUUUGGUACAGCAGAGAAACCUUUCUGUCCCAUGGCUUAAGUUAUAUCCAAAGGUGCGUACCCAAACAGUACAACCUCCUGCUGAAGAAGUGACAGAGGUACAAUUAAAGGUUAAGCCAACGCUGAACGUUUUGCUGCACAACCCCCUUGUACACAAGAGCACUUCAGUGUCCCAUCAAGAGCAGAUCAAGGGCGGAGGAGCUGAUGGAGGAUGGAUCCCUCCGUGUCAGCCCCACCAGCACCGAGCCAGCCUGUGCCAGAAGGCACACACCACCUCCCCCAGCCAGAAACGUGCACACUGCAAAGCUGAAGCCAUCUGGCUCCCGACUCACCAUCUGCACUCCUGGCAGCCACGGGAGGAGCAAGAGCUGGAGGAAGCAACCUUGCAGAAAGUGCUUCUGCUCAAGGAAAACCAACCACCACUGCUGGGAGAGCAGCUCCUUCCCUUGUUGCCUCCUCCAGGCUUUUCUCCAAAUCUAUAACAUGCUGGCCAAAGCAGCAACAGGAACAGAGGGACUCCUGUAGCACAGGUAUGCUUCUGGCUGUGCAUCCCCUUUUUGGCUGGUCCCACCUCUUUCCAGCUGUGGGUAAGUACUCAAGUUACAUGGCUGAGGUUUAACACAUGAUGCAAAGAAAGCCACGCAGCAAAAGCUAAGCUGCUCUCCUGACAUUUUGUAUUGACAUCCAUUCACACACCCCCCACUCUGCACUCUCCUUAGGAGUAUUUUACACUGUUGCAGAAGUUUUCUGGCUGUACCCAAAAGGAAAACCAGCAGUGACAGACCCAGGGUCACCAGGUAAGGAAAGGGCACAGGAGGACAAGGUGCAAUGCCCACAGCAAGGCUGGAAUGAGCCACUCAGUAUCACAGGGUUGUUGUGCUGCUUCAUCAAGGCUAAAAUAGCAUAGUAAAACAAACUCCCAGAGCAAACAAGACAAGCAAAGCCCUGCCAAGCAGACAGAGGUAUCAUACAGCAGACAUGAUGUGCUUUGAGUGCUAAUUGUGAACGUGCCUGCUUUUAUCAAAGUCCUUAUUGACUCAAUAAAACCACAAUCUUUCAAGCAAGGCUACUCCUGCCAGCGAGACCGCAGUCCUGCCCCUGGAGCACAGGCUCUGCUGGCUUCUGCCUCUUGGUCCAGCUGGGAAUGGAAACUCUGUACCAGCAAGGCUCGCACAUUGCUUAUAGUGGUGGAAAGUGAGGGUGGCAAAGGAGGGCAUGAGCAAGCCCCAGCCAUGAUUGAACACACAAACUACUCCAGGAGGAGAGCAGAGCAGCAUGGACAUCUCUACCGACCUUGAAUACCUCCACGGAUGGUGACCCUACUACCUCCUUGUGCCAAUGACUGCCCACUCUUUGAGAGAACAGAUACUCCCUAAUAUCCAACCUGAACAUGACACCCCAUCGGCCCCCAAAAGGACAAAAGCACCACAACUGACACUUCAUAUGACCACUGCAUCCCCCUCUGUGGGGCAAAGCCCCAUGGAAAUUACCUCCCACCCUCUCCAAAGCAUCAAGACUCACAGCAGCCCCCC